rnacentral:rRNA from 1 species
UACAGAGGGUGCAAACGUUGCUCGGAAUCAUUGGGCGUAAAGCGCACGUAGGCGGCUUAGCAAGUCGGAUGUGAAAUCCCUCGGCUCAACCAAGGAAGUGCAUCCGAAACUGCUGAGCUUGAGUACUUAAGAGGAUCGCGGAAUUCCCGGUGUAGAGGUGAAAUUCGUAGAUAUCUGGAGGAACACCGGUGGCGAAGGCGGCAUCCUGGACCGGUAUUGACGCUGAUGCGCGAAAGCCAGGGGAGCAAACGGG